rnacentral:rRNA from 1 species
UACAGAGGUCUCAAGCGUUGUUCGGAUUCAUUGGGCGUAAAGGGUGCGUAGGCGGCGCGGUAAGUCGGGUGUGAAAUCUUGGAGCUUAACUCCGAAACUGCAUUCGAUACUGCCGUGCUUGAGGACUGGAGAGGAGACUGGAAUUUACGGUGUAGCGGUGAAAUGCGUAGAUAUCGUAAGGAAAACCAGUGGCGAAGGCGGGUCUCUGGACAGUUCCUGACGCUGAGGCACGAAGGUCAGGGGAGCAAACGGG